UACGUAGGGGGCAAGCGUUGUCCGGAUUUAUUGGGCGUAAAGAGCGUGUAGGCGGCUGGGUAGGUCCGUUGUGAAAACUCGAGGCUCAACCUCGAGACGCCGAUGGAAACCCUCCAGCUAGAGUCCGGAAGAGGAGAGUGGAAUUCCUGGUGUAGCGGUGAAAUGCGCAGAUAUCAGGAAGAACACCCGUGGCUAAGGCGGCUCUCUAGUACGGUACUGACGCUGAGGUGCGAAAGCGUGGGGAGCAAACAGG
rnacentral:rRNA from 1 species